UACGUAGGGGGCAAGCGUUGUCCGGAUCAUUGGGCGUAAAGAGCGUGUAGGCGGUUCGGUAAGUCGGCUGUGAAAGUCCAGGGCUCAACCCUGGGAUGCCGGUCGAUACUGCCGGACUAGAGUUCGGAAGAGGCGAGUGGAAUUCCCGGUGUAGCGGUGAAAUGCGCAGAUAUCGGGAGGAACACCUAUGGCGAAGGCAGCUCGCUGGGACGUUACUGACGCUGAGACGCGAAAGCCAGGGGAGCGAACGGG
rnacentral:rRNA from 1 species